UAUGUGCACGAACUGGUUGAGAACUACGAGUCAUAAACUAGUACCUGAAAUAAACAAAAUCAAAUAAAGUUAAAACUAAAAUUAAAACACACAAAAAAAAAGAAAUAAAAAGAAACAAUGGGGAUUUAGCAAAGUUGCUAAUCCCCGACAACGGCGCCAAAAUUUGAUGCGAAAUAUUAUAAGCACACAAAUUAAACCCUCUUUUUGACAAUUGUAAUAUAGAUGUAAGUAGGGUAUCGUUCUAAACCGGGGAUUAGGAGGGCUUGCUAAAACCUCUAAACUGACUCAAAA
rnacentral:lncRNA from 1 species